rnacentral:rRNA from 1 species
AUGCAGCCAUGCCGCGUGUGUGAAGAAGGCCUUCGGGUUGUAAAGCACUUUCAGUUGUGAGGAAAGGUUGGUAGUUAAUACCUGCCAGCUGUGACGUUAACAACAGAAGAAGCACCGGCUAACUCCGUGCCAGCAGCCGCGGUAAUACGGAGGGUGCGAGCGUUAAUCGGAAUUACUGGGCGUAAAGCGCACGCAGGCGGUUUGUUUAGCUAGAUGUGAAAGCCCCGGGCUCAACCUGGGAUGGUCAUUUAGAACUGGCAGACUAGAGUCUUGGAGAGGGGAGUGGAAUUCCAGGUGUAGCGGUGAAAUGCGUAGAUAUCUGGAGGAACAUCAGUGGCGAAGGCGGCUCCCUGGCCAAAGACUGACGCUCAUGUGCGAAAGUGUGGGUAGCGAACAGGAUUAGAUACCCUGGUAGUCCACACCGUAAACGCUGUCUACUAGCUGUUUGUGAACUUAAUUCGUGAGUAGCGAAGCUAACGCGAUAAGUAGACCGCCUGGGGAGUACGGCCGCAAGGUUAAAACUCAAAUGAAUUGACGGGGGCCCGCGCAAGCGGUGGAGCAUGUGGUUUAAUUCGAUGCAACGCGAAGAACCUUACCUACACUUGACAUGCAGAGAACUUUCCAGAGAUGGAUUGGUGCCUUCGGGAACUCUGACACAGGUGCUGCAUGGCUGUCGUCAGCUCGUGUCGUGAGAUGUUGGGUUAAGUCCCGCAACGAGCGCAACCCUUGUCCUUAGUUGCCAGCAUUUAGUUGGGCACUCUAAGGAGACUGCC